rnacentral:rRNA from 1 species
UACGUAGGGGGCAAGCGUUGUCCGGAAUUAUUGGGCGUAAAGGGCUCGUAGGCGGAUCUAAAAGUCUGACGUGAAAUCUCCACCGCUCACCGGGGAGGGGCCGUUGGAUACUGUAGAUCUGGAGUUCGGUAGAGGGUCGUGGAAUUUCGGGUGUAGCGGUGGAAUGCGUAGAUAUCCGAAAGAACACCGGUGGCGAAGGCGGCGACCUGGGCCUGAACUGACGCUGAGGAGCGAAAGCUAGGGGAGCAAACGGG